AUGGAGAGGUUCCCCGGCAAGGUCGCCGCCGCCGUGUUCGCAGCCGCCGCGAUGCCGUGCGUUGGCAAGCACAUGGGCGUCCCCACCGAGGAGUUCAUGCGAAGAACAUCAUCGGAAGGACUACUCAUGGACUGCAAGAUGCUGCCAAUCAGCAACAACCAGGGUGCAGGGGUUGCAAUCAUAGUGGGCCCAGACUUCUUAGCACGCAAGUAUUACCAGCAAAAUCCACCUGAGGAUUUGGCCCUGGCAAAAAUGUUGGUCAGGCCGGGAAACCAGUUCAUUGACGAUCCAAUGAUGAAGGAUGCAAGCCUGCUCACCGACGACAACUACGGGUCGGUGAGGAAGGUAUACGUGGUAGCCAAGGCUGAUAGCUCCAGCACCGAGGAGAUGCAGCGUUGGAUGGUGGUGUUAAGCCCCGGCACGGAGGUCGAGGAGAUCGCCGGAGCUGACCAUACCAUCAUGAGCUCUAGGCCAAGGGAGCUCUGUGAUGCCCUGGUCAAGAUCGCCAACAGCUUAUAUACUUUCUGA
rnacentral:rRNA from 1 species